UACGUAGGGGGCAAGCGUUGUCCGGAAUCAUUGGGCGUAAAGCGCGUGUAGGCGGCCUAGUAAGUCCGUUCUGAAAGUCCGGGACUCAACCCCGGGAGGCGGAUGGAUACUGCUGGGCUCGAGUACGGAAGAGGCGAGUGGAAUUCCCGGUGUAGCGGUGAAAUGCGCAGAUAUCGGGAGGAACACCAAUGGCGAAGGCAGCUCGCUGGGACGUUACUGACGCUGAGACGCGAAAGCGUGGGGAGCAAACAGG
rnacentral:rRNA from 1 species